AUUGAACGCUGGCGGCAUGCCUUACACAUGCAAGUCGAACGGCAGCACGGGGGCAACCCUGGUGGCGAGUGGCGAACGGGUGAGUAACAUAUCGGAACAUACCCUAGAGUGGGGAGUAACGUAGCGAAAGUUACGCUAAUACCGCAUACGAUCUAAGGAUGAAAGUGGGGGGAUCUUCGGACCUCAUGCUCAUGGAGUGGCCGAUAUCUGAUUAGCUAGUUGGUGAGGUAAAGGCUCACCAAGGCGACGAUCAGUAGCUGGUUUGAGAGAACGACCAGCCACACUGGAACUGAGACACGGUCCAGACUCCUACGGGAGGCAGCAGUGGGGAAUUUUGGACAAUGGGGGCAACCCCUGAUCCAGCAAUGCCGCGUGAGUGAAGAAGGCCUUCGGUUGUAAGACGUCUUUGUUCUAGGGAAGAAACGGUAGAGUU
rnacentral:rRNA from 1 species